GAUGAACGCUGGCGGCGUGCCUAAUACAUGCAAGUCGAACGAAACUUCUUUAUCACCGAGUGCUUGCGCUCACCGAUAAAGAGUUGAGUGGCGAACGGGUGAGUAACACGUGGGCAACCUGCCCAAAAGAGGGGGAUAACACUUGGAAACAGGUGCUAAUACCGCAUAACCAUAGUUACCGCAUGGUAACUAUGUAAAAGGUGGCUAUACUACCGCUUUUGGAUGGGCCCGCGGCGCAUUAGCUAGUUGGCAGGGUAAAGGCUUACCAAGGCAAUGAUGCGUAGCCGAAUUGAGAGGUUGAUCGGCCACAUUGGGACUGAGACACGGCCCAAACUCCUACGGGAGGCAGCAGUAGGGAAUCUUCCACAAUGGGCGAAAGCCUGAUGGAGCAACGCCGCGUGGGUGAAGAAGGUCUUCGGAUCGUAAAACCCUGUUGUUAGAGAAGAAAGUGCGUGAGAGUAACUGUUCACGUUUCGACGGUAUCUAACCAGAAAGCCACGGCUAACUACGUG
rnacentral:rRNA from 1 species